GAAGCGCUCCGCCUUUCUCAGCCAGUCACUGGGGUACGCGAUGACGAACGGUUUGUCUAUUUCGUAGGAGGGCUGUUGGGCUGUUCAACGUAAUCGUUGAUUCUUUUGACGCAACAUUAAGUGACACAGCUCGUUUUGCUACAUCUAAGAAAUUUUCAGGAUAAACAAAUAAAUGAAAUUGAAACCGAUUAUAUAUUUCCAGUAACGAGACCAAUUUAAAAAAGAAAACAAAACGGAGUCGACUAUAGACGUUACUGCAUGCGAUGGAUGACGAUCCUGUGACAUUGUCAGUGCAGAAAAAGACGGUGGGAGCCCAAUUUUGGUUCUUCUGAAAUAUUUGAUGAUUCAAUUAUUACCUUGUCAACAAUACUAUGUUUUUGCCAGAUUCAAUUUUAUGCUUUAUACAAAUUAUGGUUUUGACAACUGGUGUUGGGUGGGCGCCUGUAAUAAUAAUAAUAAUAUUAUUCAAUUUUAAUUUUUUUUUAAUUUUACUGAUUUAUGCUUUACAUAACUAAGCGUAUAAGUAAGUUCAAUAGGAGUUUAUGUGUGUUUUGAGUCGUGCGUCGAACGUACAUUUACCACGUAAAACCGCGCUGCAUUUUUGGUAUUUUCUAUUUAUUUAAUUGUGUUGUUUUAUCCAUUUAUCUUAUUUUUUCUUUGCUUUUUUUCAUUUUACUUGUGUCCGUGUUAGUAACUUAGUAGCCAGUCAGAGAUAAGCGGGAAAAAUCGUUAUGCAGAUAUUUAAAGCAGCAUUAGAUCGAGGGUAGUAUAGACAGGAGAUAUAUACUGUUAACAUCGUAAGAGAUGAUGACAAGGCGCCAAUAUUAUUGCAAGGAUUCCCAUUUAAUGUGAACAAUUAGCCCGGGACUCUUUCUGACGGCUCUAUUGAGUAACCCAAAAUUAAAUUCUUAUGUGAAUGUGCAUAUUUCUACAGGGCUUCAAACCUUAAAUAUUUUAAUAGAAUGUCAGAUUUCCGAUAUCAAUGAGAAAUUCGUCUCGUAAUGGUAAGAACUAUACAUGGUUAAUGAAAUUUGUCGGUGAAUAAUUUACAUAUACUGUAUAUAUAUAUAUAUAUAUUAUAAAUAUAUAAGUUACUUGACUAAGAAAAUUGGCGCUAUUCCCACAUUUUGCAAAAUUUAAUGAAUGUAUCGCAGUUCUGAAUCCAUAUAGUCUGUGUGUUUUUAACCCACCCGCUAGGCACUACGAAAAAAUCAGUAGCAAUCCACUUAUUUACUUCAA